AUGAAUGAUGACCCUACAAUGUGUGGGAAAAUCCCAAAGGUUGACCACUGUGAAUGGGAACUACCCCAGAUGUGUCAGGAGCACCACAGGCAUGCUCACUUCUUCCCUGGCUGGAGCUGGCCAACCUGCUGCCUCUCCUUCCCCAGAUUGUCUUUCCACUUGGGACAUGCCUCCUUUGGGAUGUACUGAGUGGUGUUCCUGGCGCACUACAUGCAGGCGCGGCUCUGCUGGAAGUGGACGCAGCUGCUGCGGCCCUCGGUCCAGUUCUUCCUGGUGGCCUUUGCCCUCUAUGUGGGCUACACCUGCAUGUCUGAUCACUGGAGCGACGUCCUUGCUGGUCUCCUGCAGGGGGCGCUGGUGGCUGGCCUCACUGUCCACUACAUCUCAGACUUCUUCAAAGCCCGACCCCCACAGCACUGCCUGAAGGAGGAGGAGCUGGAAAGGAAGCCCAGCCUGUCACUGACAGUGACCCUGGGCGAGGCUGACCACAACCACUAUGGAUACCCGCACUCCUCCUCCUGAGGCUGGAUGAAGCCCAGGCAGGGAGUGGCUGUGAGUCCAGCUGAGGCCGGCCCCCCAGGUGGUCCCUCUGGCCCUGGGUAGGCACUGAGGGCCCCGGACAGGCUCCAGGAACCCUGGGCUGAUGGGAACAGUGAGCAGGCUCUGCUGCCCCUGCCCUGCACUGGACAAGGGGUCUGGGGAGGCCUAGGUAGCCCUGAGCAUUUGGAGGGGGACCUGUUCCCGUAGCUCCCCAAUAUCCCCAUUCUUUUAUGGGGUUAAGGAAGGGGCUGUUUUGUAAAAUGUAAUGUACAUGUGGUUUUUAGUAAAAUAGGGCAUUGGUUUGAC